AUUGAACGCUGGCGGCAUGCUUUACACAUGCAAGUCGAACGGCAGCGCGGGCUUCGGCCUGGCGGCGAGUGGCGAACGGGUGAGUAAUGCAUCGGAACGUGCCCAGUAGUGGGGGAUAGCCCGGCGAAAGCCGGAUUAAUACCGCAUACGACCUGAGGGUGAAAGCGGGGGACCGAAAGGCCUCGCGCUAUUUGAGCGGCCGAUGUCGGAUUAGCUAGUUGGUGGGGUAAAGGCUUACCAAGGCGACGAUCCGUAGCUGGUCUGAGAGGACGACCAGCCACACUGGGACUGAGACACGGCCCAGACUCCUACGGGAGGCAGCAGUGGGGAAUUUUGGACAAUGGGGGCAACCCUGAUCCAGCCAUGCCGCGUGCGGGAAGAAGGCCUUCGGGUUGUAAAACGCUUUUGUUCGGGAAGAAAUCCUCUGGGAUAAAACCCCGGGGGGAUGACGGUACCGGAAGAAUAAGCACCGGCUAACUACGUG
rnacentral:rRNA from 1 species